rnacentral:lncRNA from 1 species
AACUGAAGAGCCAUUCUGACUUUUCUGAAAAAAAAAAAAUCCAAAUUUAUUUUAAAUGAGUUAAGUUCUUGGAUCUGAAGCUUAGGUUCACUGAAUUCUGCAGAGGUCAGGAGAAAGUAAGGAAUGCUUGACAGUCUUUGGGCAAGAGAGGAAUGGAGCUCUCUGAGACUAAUCCAUUUAAGUCCGUUUCAGUGCACCUGAGAGACCAAGUGAAGAUGUAAGUAGCCAGUGAGGAGGAACUGUGAAGUCAAACUAGCCAGACACACCUGGUUCUUAAAAUCUGGGAUCUUCCAUCUCCUCCUCCUUGUACCUGAUGUUGUCACAGGUAGCCAUAUUCUGUCACCCAUACUUUGUGAAUAAGGAUGAAUGACCAAAGGAUGCCAGUUGCUAUUGACAGCAACCUUGGGACCAAGAGGAAAAUUAGCCUUAGAAGCAAAUAACACUCUGGAUCUCAGAGCAAAAAGAAAAAUAAGUGGAUAACCCCAGGAGUGGUGGUACACGCCUGUAAUCCCAGCACUUGGGAGGCG